GAGACAUGUUGCAGCGUAUCCCUCAGAUUUAUUUUUUUUUCUUUUCCUUCCGUAUCCCUCUCUCUCGCACGAGACACCCGAGUCUCUUCUCUUCUCUUCCCUUCAGUUUUUCAUUUCUUCUUCUAUUUUGACCUAACGGCUGUGCUGUGCCUGUGGCUGCUCAAAUCUUCAAUCCAGAGCUGCACCUCUGCUGCGGCUGUGCCUGUGGCUGCUGCGAUUUCACGAUCUCCCGCCCAGGCCUAGGUAUCAUCCCUUCUCUCUCUCUCUCUCUCUCUCUCUCUCUCUCUCUCUCUCUCUCUCUCAAGUCGACCUCAGCCUAACCCACAUCACCCCUCUCUGUUUCAGGCACAUACAACACAAACCCGAUCAAGAGCCGCCACAACCACCUCCAUUGCCGAAGGUAAAUUCUCUCGUCUGUGCAUUGUAGGGUUUUUAUUUUAAUUUUUAUUUUGCUUUGAAAUUUAUACCUAUAUCAGAAUGAUAUAUGCUAUCGGAGCUAUGGGAAGUGUUUUGUUUUCUGUUAAAUCAGAAGUGUGCGGUGAUGAGGCUAUUUGUGGACUAGAGUUUAUGAUCUGGGUUCUUCUCCCAAAAGUUUGAUUACAAACCCUUGGCUGUCUGAGCACUCUUAAUAUGUUUUCUGUUAUCUUCCAAUCUGUAGUUUUCCAAAGUGCUUUUUUCCAAAGUCACCCAUAUAAUCCUUGUGAACAGGUUCUCCAUUACUCUGGCUGGUGAUUGAUUCCAGCCUUCUCAUGAUGUGUGAUAAACUUCCCAUAUUUGCAUGUAUUUCUUUUCAUUCAUAAUUGCAGUAGACCAAUAAUAGUUUGCUGAAUUAUUAUUCAAGGUUCAC
rnacentral:lncRNA from 1 species